UACGUAGGCAGCAAGCGUUGUUCGGAGUUACUGGGCGUAAAGGGUGCGUAGGCGGCUUUUUAAGUCUGGUGUGAAAUCUCCCGGCUCAACUGGGAGGGUGCGCCGGAUACUGAGGGGCUAGAGUGUGGGAGAGGAAAGUGGAAUUCCUGGUGUAGCGGUGAAAUGCGUAGAUAUCGGGAGGAACACCUGUGGCGAAAGCGGCGCACUGGACCAUAACUGACGCUGAGGCGCGAAAGCUAGGGGAGCAAACAGG
rnacentral:rRNA from 1 species